rnacentral:rRNA from 1 species
GAUGAACGCUGGCGGCGUGCUUAACACAUGCAAGUCGAGCGAGAAGUUUUGAAAAGAUUCUUCGGAUGAAAUUUAAAAUGGAAAGCGGCGGACGGGUGAGUAACGCGUAGGCAACCUGCCCCAUACAAAGGGAUAGCAUUUGGAAACGAAUAUUAAUACCUUAUGAAACUUAACUAGUGCAUGCUAGGUAGGUCAAAGAUUUAUCGGUAUGGGAUGGGCCUGCGUCUGAUUAGCUAGUUGGUGAGGUAACGGCUCACCAAGGCGACGAUCAGUAGCCGACCUGAGAGGGUGAACGGCCACAUUGGAACUGAGACACGGUCCAAACUCCUACGGGAGGCAGCAGUGGGGAAUAUUGCACAAUGGGGGAAACCCUGAUGCAGCAACGCCGCGUGAACGAUGAAGGCCUUUGGGGCGUAAAGUUCUGUUAUAGGUGAUGAAAACUGACAGUAACCUAGGAGAAAGCCCCGGCUAACUCCGUG